rnacentral:rRNA from 1 species
GGUGACAGGUGCUGCAUGGCUGUCGUCAGCUCGUGUCGUGAGAUGUUGGGUUAAGUCCCGCAACGAGCGCAACCCUCGCCUUUAGUUGCCAGCAUUCAGUUGGGCACUCUAGAGGGACUGCCGGUGUCAAACCGGAGGAAGCGGGAUGACGUCAAGUCCUCAUGGCCUUUAUGUCUAGGGCUACACACGUACUACAAUGGCCGGUACAAAGGGCAGCCACUCAGCGAUGAGGCGCGAAAUCCCAUAAAGCCGGUCUCAGUCCGGAUCGCAGUCUGCAACUCGACUGCGUGAAGUUGGAAUCGCUAGUAAUCGUAGAUCAGCAUGCUACGGUGAAUACCGGUUCCCGGGCCUU